UCCAGACUCCUACGGGAGGCAGCAGUGGGGAAUAUUGCACAAUGGGGGAAACCCUGAUGCAGCAACGCCGCGUGAGUGAAGAAGUAUUUCGGUAUGUAAAGCUCUAUCAGCAGGGAAGAAGAUGACGGUACCUGAUUAAGAAGCCCCGGCUAACUACGUGCCAGCAGCCGCGGUAAUACGUAGGGGGCAAGCGUUAUCCGGAUUUACUGGGUGUAAAGGGAGCGCAGACGGCAGUGCAAGUCUGGAGUGAAAGCCCGGGGCCCAACCCCGGAACUGCUCUGGAAACUGUGCGGCUAGAGUACUGGAGGGGCAGGCGGAAUUCCUGGUGUAGCGGUGAAAUGCGUAGAUAUCAGGAGGAACACCGGUGGCGAAGGCGGCCCGCUGGACUGCAACUGACGUUGAGGCCCGAAAGCGUGGGGAGCAAACAGGAUUAGAUACCCCUGUAAAA
rnacentral:rRNA from 1 species